GCAGCUCCAGCCAAAGCAACAACCAGUGCAAUACCUUCACGAUUGUUACCACCAAACAGUUUUAAAGCAGCUCCAGCCAAAGCAACAACCAGUGCAAUACCUUCACGAUUGUUACCACCAAACAGUUUUAAAGCAGCU